GGACAUUUUGGUUGUUUCCUCCUUUUAGCUGUUGUGAAAAGUGCUGCAAUGAACAUUGUUAUACAGGUUUCUGUUUGCAUUCGGGCCUUCACUUCUUGUGGAUAUUGGGAUUAUGAUUGGGAUUGCUGGAUCGAGUGGUAAUUCUUCAUUCAACUUUUUGAAGAACUUCCAAAAUGUUUUUCACAGUGGCUGUGCCAUUUUACCUUCCCACCACCAAUGGAUGAAGGUUCCAGUUUCUCCGCACCUUGCCAACAUUUUUUUCCAUUUUUUUUUAUUAUUGCUAUUUUAAUGAGGGUGAGGGAUAUCUCAUUGUGGUCCAGUAUGUUUUAAGUGGAAAAAACACUUUAUAAAAUAGAUAACUCGUACAAUUUCUAACUAAAAUUUAAAAACGUAUUAAUGAUUAUUUUUGCAUAUUGAGAUUACAAUGUAACAGGUCCUUAGGUGGUGCAAAUGGUUUGUGCUCAACUGCUAACUCACCUAGCAGUACAACAGAAGAAAAGGCCUGGCUAUCGGCUUCCAUCAAGAUUACAGUCCAUGGUAUAUUCAAUAUUCUUCGCCAACACCACAAUUCAAAGGCAUCAACUCUUCUUCGGUCUUCCUUAUUCAUUGUCCAGCUUUCACAUGCAUAUGAUGGGAUUGAAAAUGCCAUGGCUUGGGUCAGGUGCACCUUAGUCUUCAAGGUGCAACCCAUACUGAAGGCUGUGGUCUUUGAUCUUCAGCAAUAAGUGCUUCAAGUCCUUUUCACUUUCAGCAAGCAAGGUUGUAUCAUCUGCAUAAUGCAGGUUGUUAGUGAGUCUUCCUCCAAUCCUGAUGCCCUGUUCCUCUUCAUACAGUCCAGCUUCUCAGAUUAUUUGCCCAGCAUACAGAUUGAAUAGCCAGAAUCCAUCUGACAUCAGCAAUGAUUUCCCUGGCUCCACGUCCUCUUCUGAAACUGGCCUGAAUUUCUGGCAGUUCCCUGUCGAUAUACUGCUGCAGCCAUUUUCGAAUGAUCUUCCGUAAAAUUUUGCUUGCAUCUCUAGGCUACUCACAUACCCUCCAAGAUGAUGAUGAUAAUUGUCAUUGUUCCAUGCAGGUAAUGUUUAAUU